rnacentral:lncRNA from 1 species
CCUGACUAGGUACUUGUUGGUAAGGUUAAAUUACAAAUAUUGUGAAUUUGUGCUAUCUGUUUUCUUUAGUUUUUCUGUUAUUAUCAAUCUGCCCAAGUUAUUUGCAAUGAGCUGCUUGUUCCAGAUUUAUGACAUAACUACAGUUGUCCACCUUCCUGUCUAUUCUUUACAUUACAGUUUACAAAUUUUGGUAGUUUUCCAUUUGCAGAUGUAGUAUCUCACAUCAUGGCAUGCUAUGUGUGGAAAUCAUUCGGGAUCCCAUUGAUGAAUGUCAAUCCAAUGUCAAGCUGGGGUUACUGGCCAACUUAAUUUUGAUGGAGCGUGUCCUGAACACUGCUCCCACCCCAUCUUCUGCUGUGGGGAUUGAGUACUAGUUUGGCGACUGAGUUGUCAGCACAGGCUUAAUUAGUUUUCCUUUUUCUUCUGUUGUAGCCUCUCGGACACUUGAAAGAAAUGGAAAUAGCAAGCAGUACUGCAUUGUCAUUUGUUUACCCAUGAGACAUGUUAAUGCUGAGUAUUCUUGAUGUCCACUAGUUAUUGUAACAUUAUUGAAUAGGUGUUUGUUAUUGCUUUGGGAUGUAGAUUGUAAAAUCAAUUGCUUUGAUGAUUGCAUUUGGUAAUACCCCAAAGUUCUGAUUAUUUGAGAAGAUUCUUAGUUUUGGUUUGGUAUUUUGUACAUGCACAAGUAACAAUGAUGCAAAAUUUUAUCAUGUGUAAUGUUUGAGUACAAUAUGUUUGUUCUUCG